rnacentral:tRNA from 1 species
CGACGGUGUAGCAACCGCCGGUGCUGCCGGCGUCGCCACUGCCGCCAGACGCGAGGUGAUUUCCUUGCGAUAGCGGUUCAGGUCCGUUGCGGUCGC